rnacentral:rRNA from 1 species
GACAGAGGGUGCAAACGUUGUUCGGAUUUACUGGGCGUAAAGCGUGUGUAGGCGGCUUUGCAAGUCGGAUGUGAAAUCCCACGGCUCAACCGUGGAAGUGCAUCCGAAACGGCAUCGCUUGAGUCUCGGAGAGGAAGGUGGAAUGCUUGGUGUAGAGGUGAAAAUUCGUAGAUAUCAAGCAGAACACCUGCGGGCGAAAGGGCGGCCCUUCUGGACGAUGACUGACGCUGAGACACGAAAGCGUGGGGGAGCAAACAGG